GCCUGGGUGGCUCAGUCGGUUAAGUGUCUGACUUCAGCUCAGGUCAUGAUCUCACGGUUUGUGGGUUCGAGCCCCUCAUCGGGCU
rnacentral:tRNA from 1 species